rnacentral:rRNA from 1 species
UACGGAGGGUGCGAGCGUUAAUCGGAAUUACUGGGCGUAAAGGGUGCGCAGGUGGUUUGACAAGUUAUGUGUGAAAGUCCCGGGCUUAACCUGGGGAUGCCAGAUAAGACUGUCGAACUGGAGUAUGGGAGAGGGCAGUGGAAUUUCCGGUGUAGCGGUGAAAUGCGUAGAGAUCGGAAGGAACACCAGUGGCGAAGGCGGCUGCCUGGCCUGAUACUGACACUGAGGCACGAAAGCGUGGGGAGCAAACAGGAUUAGAUACCCUGGUAGUCCACGCUGUAAACGAUGUCAACUGGCUGUUGGCCUUAUGAAUGAGGUUAGUGGCGUAGCAAACGCGCUAAGUUGACCGCCUGGGGAGUACGGUCGCAAGAUUAAA